AGUCGUAACAAGGUAUCCGUAGGUGAACCUGCGGAUGGAUCAUUACCAAAGGUUAAAACCCAAAGUACUGUGAACUGUUUAGAUUAUGGUCAGCGAGAGGCACCGUUGUGGAGUUGUAAAAGUCAUUUUUUGCAAGUUGAAACAACUGGUGGCGACCGCUGGCCGCCCACAACGUCAAAAUCUUAACUGAAAUUUUUUUGUCAAAACAAAAAUAACUUUUAGCAACGGAUCUCUUGGCUCUC
rnacentral:misc_RNA from 1 species